rnacentral:rRNA from 1 species
UACGGAGGGGGCUAGCGUUGUUCGGAAUUACUGGGCGUAAAGCGCGCGUAGGCGGCUUUGCAAGUCAGAGGUGAAAGCCCGGGGCUCAACCCCGGAAUUGCCUUUGAGACUGCAUCGCUAGAAUUGUGGAGAGGUAAGUGGAACCCCGAGUGUAGAGGUGAAAUUCGUAGAUAUUCGGAAGAACACCAGUGGCGAAGGCGACUUACUGGACACAUAUUGACGCUGAGGUGCGAAAGCGUGGGGAGCAAACAGG